rnacentral:rRNA from 1 species
CCUACGGGAGACAGCAGUGAGGAAUAUUGGUCAAUGGGCGCGAGUCUGAACCAGCCAUGCAGCGUGCAGGAUGACGGCUCUAUGGGUUGUAAACUUCUUUUGUACGGGGGUAAACUCAGAUACGCGUAUCUUUCUGAAAGUAUCGUACGAAUAAGGAUCGGCUAACUCCGUGCCAGCAGCCGCGGUAAUACGGAGGAUCCGAGCGUUAUCCGGAUUUAUUGGGUUUAAAGGGUGCGUAGGCGGUCUGAUAAGUUAGAGGUGAAAUCCCGAGGCUCAACUGCGGAAUUGCCUCUGAUACUGGUCGGCUAGAGAGUAGUUGCGGUAGGCGGAAUGUAUGGUGUAGCGGUGAAAUGCUUAGAGAUCAUACAGAACACCGAUUGCGAAGGCAGCUUACUAAGCUACUUCUGACGUUGAGGCACGAAAGCGUGGGGAGCAAACAGGAUUAGAUACCCUUGUAGUC